UACAGAGGUCCCAAGCGUUGUUCGGAUUCACUGGGCGUAAAGGGUGCGUAGGUGGUGAGGUAAGUCGGAUGUGAAAGCUCGGAGCUCAACUCCGAAAUGGCAUUGGAAACUACCUUGCUCGAGGGUUGGAGGGGGGACUGGAAUACUUGGUGUAGCAGUGAAAUGCGUAGAUAUCAGGAGGAAUACCGAUGGCGAAGGCAGCUCUCUGGUACAUGACUGACGCUGAGACGCGAAAGCGUGGGUAGCAAACAGG
rnacentral:rRNA from 1 species